GAGUUUGAUCCUGGCUCAGGACGAACGCUGGCGGCGCGCCUAAUACAUGCAAGUCGAACGUGAAGCCGGGAGCUUGCUCCCGGUGGAAAGUGGCGAACGGGUGAGGAACACGUGAGGAACCUGCCCUGGAGACCGGGAUAACACCGGGAAACCGGUGCUAAUACCGGAUGCCCUCACCGGACCGCAUGAUCCGGUGAGGAAAUGGAUUCCGCUCCAGGAUGGUCUCGCGGCCUAUCAGCUUGUUGGUGGGGUAAUGGCCCACCAAGGCUUCGACGGGUAGCUGGUCUGAGAGGAUGUCCAGCCACACUGGGACUGAGACACGGCCCAGACUCCUACGGGAGGCAGCAGUAGGGAAUCUUGCGCAAUGAGCGAAAGCUUGACGCAGCGACGCCGCGUGCGGGAUGAAGGCCCUCGGGUCGUAAACCGCUUUCAGCAGGGACGAAAUUGACGGUACCUGCAGAAGAAGCCCCGGCCAACUACGUGCCAGCCGCCGCGGUAAUU
rnacentral:rRNA from 1 species